GGAACACCUGUGGUAAAGGUUAGUUUGCUAUGUAACCGCUGUACUUGGGGAACACCUGUGGUAAAGGUUAGUUUGCUAUGUAACCGCUGUACUUGGGGAACACCUGUGGUAAAGGUUAGUUUGCUAUGUAACCGCCGUACUUGGGGAACACCUGUGGUAAAGGUUAGUUUGCUAUGUAACCGCUGUACUUGGGGAACACCUGUGGUAAAGGUUAGUUUGCUAUGUAACCGCUGUACUUGGGGAACACCUGUGGUAAAGGUUAGUUUGCUAUGUAACCGCUGUACUUGGGGAACACCUGUGGUAAAGGUUAGUUUGC